AGAGUUUGAUCCUGGCUCAGAGUGAACGCUGGCGGCAGGCCUAAUACAUGCAAGUCGAACGGCAGCACAGCAGAGCUUGCUCUGUGGGUGGCGAGUGGCGGACGGGUGAGGAAUACAUGGGAAUCUGCCCAGUCGUGGGGAUAACGUAGGGAAACUUACGCUAAUACCGCAUGCGCCCUUCGGGGGAAAGCCGGGGACCUUCGGGCCUGGCGCGAUUGGAUGAGCCCAUGUCGGAUUAGCUAGUUGGCGGGGUAAUGGCCCACCAAGGCGACGAUCCGUAGCUGGUCUGAGAGGAUGAUCAGCCAUACUGGAACUGAGACACGGUCCAGACUCCUACGGGAGGCAGCAGUAGGGAAUAUUGGACAAUGGGCGCAAGCCUGAUCCAGCCAUGCCGCGUGAGUGAAGAAGGCCCUCGGGUUGUAAAGCUCUUUUGUCCGGAAAGAAAAGCGCCGGGUUAAUACCCUGGUGUCCUGACGGUACCGGAAGAAUAAGCACCGGCUAACUUCGUG
rnacentral:rRNA from 1 species